rnacentral:rRNA from 1 species
UUAGAUACCCUAUUAUGCUCAGCUGUAAAAUAUUAAUUACACCAAAACCGCCAAAGAACUACGAGCGCAAGCUUAAAACUUAAAGGACUUGACGGUGCCCCAUCUACCUAGAGGAGCCUGUUCUAUAAUCGAUAAUCCUCGUUAUAUCUUACCUUUUUUUGCUCAUCAGUCUGUAUACUUCCGUCGUAAGCUUACCAUAUGAAUGUAUUAGUAAGUUAAAUAGUAAUAAUAUUACCAAAACGUCAGGUCAAAGUGCAGCCUACAAAAAGGGAAGAAAUGGGCUACAAUUUCUACUUAAGAACAUACGAAUUUAAGUAACUGAAAACUACCAUGAAGGCGGAUUUAGAAGUAAAGCGAAAAUAAAGUGUUCGCUUUAACAAUGCUCUGGGACGCGUACACAUCGCCCGUCG